AACAAACGCUGGCGGCGUGCCUAAUACAUGCAAGUCGAACGGGGAAAGCUUUCGGGUGAGUACUAGUGGCGCACGGGUGAGUAACGCGUGGAUAAUCUGCCUUAGAGUGGGGGAUAAUUAGUCGAAAGAUUAGCUAAUACCGCAUAAGACCACAAGAACUGCGGUUCAAGAGGUCAAAGGUUUUUCGCUCUAAGAUGAGUCCGCGUAAGAUUAGCUAGUUGGUGAGGUAACGGCUCACCAAGGCAACGAUCUUUAACGGGUCUGAGAGGAUGAACAGGCACACUGGAACUGAGACACGGUCCAGACUCAUACGGGAGGCAGCAGUAGUGAAUAUUGCACAAUGGAGGAAACUCUGAUGCAGCGACGCCGCGUGAGUGAUGAAGGCCUUCGGGUCGUAAAGCUCUGUCGCAGGGGAAUAACACAAUGAAUGUACCCUGUAAGAAAGGAUCGGCUAACUUCGUGCCAGCAGCCGCGGUAACAC
rnacentral:rRNA from 1 species